rnacentral:misc_RNA from 1 species
GUUGGUUGUCUCACUAAAUAACAGAAUGGUUUUUCAUUCAUCAUCAGAGCCAGAGCCUUCUGAACUUGAACUCUGCUUAUGAGCUUUUCCAUUGGCAACAGGGCCCUUCUUUUUCACAUCUUGCUCAUCAGCUUCGUCUUCACUGUAUUCACUCUCGUAAUCAUCAUAUUCUUCUUCAUCAUUUUCCUCUUCCUCUUCAAUUCCAUCUUCCAUGGUUGGCCCUUCUUCUGCCAUAAGGCCACCACGGGUACCCGCACGGGUUCGUUUCAAGAUUUUCAAUUUCAGGUUUGUUUUGUUAUCGCAACCGAUCCAAGAAUCACACAGGCAGUAACAAGUUAAAUUGUAGUUCCCCUCAGCUGGAGCGUGGAACUUGCCUAGAACCAGUCUAGAUCCUGCUUUUACCUUCUCUACCGCUUGCCUAACUGCAGCACUGGUUUCCUUCACACUUGCUCCAGAUCCCUCCAUUUGUUCCUCGAUCGCCUUGGAGGCAGCGGUUAUGGCCGUAGCCUCAUCCAUGAAACUGACCUUCUGGUAAAACCACACAUUGUUUGAAUUCGGAUCUGCAAGCAAGAACCAGAAGUUCUCUUCUUUGUGAAAUGGGUAG